GAAUAAAGGUGUUAUUUUUUUUCCUAAUUUCCUUUUUAAAAAAAAUUAUCUUUUGCCAUUUUUUCUACAAGAGUUAUGAUUUUGUGGUUUGAUUUUUAAGACAGGCUAACGAUAGUGCUGAAGGUGUCGAAGAAUAAAGGUGUCAUUUUUAUAUUUUCCCACUUUUUUUAUUAAAUUAUCUUCUGUCAUUUUUGCUGUAAGAGUUAUUGCUGAUUUAUUUUUGCUACUAAACAGAUAAUGGCGAUGGUAAAGACUUUUUCAAGGCAGAGUUGCUAUAUUUUUAUGAUGCAGUGAGCAAUAUGUAGAAUUGCAACUGUGGAUGGUGAAGCUGCAACUGAGGAGGUGAAAAAGAGUUACCAUGUUCUGAGAAAAAUAGACUGAUGAUGACCCCAUUUUGAUUGAUGGAGAAAUUUUUAUGUUACUUUGUUUUGACAGUUUAAAGUUGUAAUUUAAUCAUUAUGGU